rnacentral:misc_RNA from 1 species
GAUGAAGAACGUAGCGAAAUGCGAUAAGUAGUGUGAAUUGCAGAAUUCAGUGAAUCAUCGAAUCUUGAACGCACAUUGCGCCCUUUGGUAUUCCUUAGGGCAUGCCUGUUCGAGCGUCAUUUAAACCUUCAAGCUAAGCUUGGUGUUGGGUGACUGUCCGCUUCACGGCGGACUCGCCUCAAAAUUAUUGGCGGCCGGUACAUUGGCUUCGAGCGCAGCAGAAACGCGAACUCGGGCCCGUCGUAUUGGCUCCCAGAAGCUAUCUUCACAAUUUUGACCUCGGAUCAGGUAGGGAUACCCGCUGAACUUAAGCAUAUCAAUAAGCGGAGGA